CCGGGCACUAUUCCACCACCCCCUCCCACACGGUCUCUGAUAACGGGAAAAACAAGGCUCCUGCUCCGUGUAUCUCGCCCGCCGCCAUUAUCCGGCCCUUCCCACCCCCACCGCGGGCGGGCAUUUUCCUCCCUCUCUCACUUACGCCCCCCCCCAAAAAAAAAACAAACCUCGGCGGAUGGCGCCUUUUUGACAGGCGCCGUGUGUGGAAAAUCUUCGACCUCCCUCAUCCUGUCUUCGAGUUGAGGCAUUUUAUUACGUAAAUUAUUAUAGUGCAACUUUUAAAAUAAAUCAAACUGUGGAAGCCACCCAGGUUAGUUUAGUUACAAAAUUGCCUUGUCAUGUUUUGCUUAAUCACUGGCAAACUCUCCUUUAGGGAAAAUUGAACCUAAUUUUAAUUUCUCCUUUGCAAAGAUUGAUUGGAAAUUUUAUUUGCUCCAGCCUAGUUUGAGAUCUGUGGUAUAGAGAGUUAUAUAAAGGCUUUUAUGAUGUAUGACCAACUUGAACUGUUUAACGUGCUUUAGCAUUUGAAGUGCACAGACAGCUAAACCAAGCAAUAUCAUGAAAUAGGAAUUUAUUUUGUUUGAAUUAAGUUUCAAGAGCACUGUAUUUCUAGAUGAGAUUGACCUCAUAUUCAAUACUUAAAUUCUGUACUGUGACAGAAUGUAACCAAGUAAUUUGAAUUUUGUCAAAGUACCUUCACUUUCUGAAUUCAUGAGAAAUUGCAUUUAUUGUCUUUGUAUGUUUAUGUAUCUGAGCAGGUAAAUUUAAUUCCUGGCCAUAAGCACUGUCCAGUUUGCAGUUUUAUAGUAUAAACCAUGGAUAAGUUUUACUUGCAGUUGUGACUGAGGGCAGAGAUUCCCAAAGUCUUGGAUGUGAGCUGGGGUCCUGAAGUAAUCCCCUCACCCCAGAGCAUGCAACAACUGCAGGCCUUGAAGGUUGAUUAUGGUGGGGUAAGACAUUUGGGAAUCACUGUCUUGAGAAAGGGUUAACAUUGCCUGGGUGAAGGGUGUAGUUGUCUGGUUUUGGGCUGAAUCACAUUGAUUUUGUUGGUGAUAUUUCAGUCGUAUCUGUUGUCUCAGGUGUAGCAGCAAAUCAAAGUUAAGAUUUUAUUGUGGUACUUAGGCUAGGUAAUUCUGUCACUGAACUAUCUGUCCUUAGUUGUCAAUAUAUUCUUGUCCAGAAAACACCAAGUGCUUUAUUUCGACAGUUAACAGUAGAUGCAACAGAAAUGUGCUGUGUUUUAAGUUGUUGGCAUAUUUACGUAUCCAAUUUCAGGUUUUGAUUAUGCUAAGCCAAACCAAACUUAAAUUUGCAGCUAAGGUGCUCACAUUGCUGUGUUUUGAGGCAGAUGUACAAACCCAGAUGUUUUAGUUAAUCUUGAGAGAUGUGCAUCAUGACCAAAACAAUGCUAAAUAGGGUUAGAAGUCACAAAUUCCAGCAAGUAGGCUCAUUGUCUUAAAAGUUCUUUGCUGAUACAUUUUUUUUCCUGAAUUUCUUGAAUACUUUACUAUAUUUGGAAGAGUGGACCAGUAUCUCCAAUUGUGAAGUGCCUGCAGUUGCAUACUUAAAAGGUGUUCCAGUAUACCUUGAUUGGGAGUUGAGGUUUUUUUUUGUAAUUUGUUAAAAACUUGCCUGGUACGAAUAAAAAUGCAGCUGUUUAUAAAAUUACCUUUUCAGCUUAAUUUUGAAAUCCUGGCUGCUGUCUCAGCUAAAGAUGUUGACUCUGUCUUGUGUGAUCUCUAGUGAGAAUUAAAGUGUAUUUGUCUUUUUUGUUGAAACACAAACAUCUAGUUCUCAAAAAAAAAGUUUCAAUAUGAAAUAUAAAUUAACAGUCAUCAGACAUCUAGAAGAUGGUCCAAUAUCGUGCUAGAACGUAUUAGCAUUGCUUUGUGAUGACCAACUGCAGUCAUUUCUGUUGGAAGUUUAAAUUAUAGUUUAUUUUUUGAACAACCCAGUUGUAUCCUAUAAACUUGUAGAAGCACAGCUUUGCCAUUAGUUAUUUCAAUGUGAAAACAUUUUAACUGUAUUGCUUCCCCUCUCCCCCUCUUUCUCUCUC